CCUACGGGAGGCAGCAGUAGGGAAUCUUCCACAAUGGGCGAAAGCCUGAUGGAGCAACGCCGCGUGAGUGAUGAAGGCCUUCGGGUUGUAAAACUCUGUCAUUCGGGACGAACCGGAGUCUGAGGAAAUGCAGACUCUCUGACGGUACCGGAGGAGGAAGCCCCGGCUAACUACGUGCCAGCAGCCGCGGUAAUACGUAGGGGGCAAGCGUUGUCCGGAUUCACUGGGCGUAAAGCGCGCGCAGGCGGUGAUGUAAGUCUGAGGUGAAAACCCGAAGCUCAACUUCGGGACUGCCUUGGAUACUGCGUCACUUGAGGAUAGGAGAGGCAAGGGGAAUUCCACGUGUAGCGGUGAAAUGCGUAGAGAUGUGGAGGAACACCUGUGGCGAAGGCGCCUUGCUGGCCUAUUUCUGACGCUGAGGCGCGAAAGCGUGGGGAGCAAACAGGAUUAGAUACCCUGGUAGUCCACGCUGUAAACGAUGAGUGCUAGGUGUAGGUGGGCUCAUACCCAUCUGUGCCGAAGCUAACGCAUUAAGCACUCCGCCUGGGGAGUACGGUCGCAAGCUGAAACUCAAAGAGUAGUAGACGNGNGAGNGCGACGGACGACACGAGGAGGGAGGAGG
rnacentral:rRNA from 1 species